AAGUCGUAACAAGGUUUCCGUAGGUGAACCUGCGGAAGGAUCAUUAAAGAAAUAAACUUGAUGGGUUGUAGCUGGCUCUAACUUGAGUAUGUGCACACCUGUCAUUUUUAUCUUUCCACCAUGUGCACUUUGCAUAGGUCUGAAAAUCACUAGUCCUUGUGGACUUUUGAUGUCUUGGGAACUGCUGUUCUUCACAGUCAGCUUUUCCUGUCUUCAGGCUCUAUGAUUUUUUUAUACACCAUGUAUGUUAAAGAACGCUUUACAGGCCUUCAAAGCCUAUAAACAUAAUACAACUUUCAGCAACGGAUCUCUUGGCUCUC
rnacentral:misc_RNA from 1 species